rnacentral:rRNA from 1 species
UGGGGAAUCUUGCACAAUGGGCGAAAGCCUGAUGCAGCGACGCCGCGUGGGGGAUGAAGCUUCUCGGAGUGUAAACCCCUUUCGACCCGGACGAAUACCUCGCAAGAGGGGUGACGGUACGGGUAUAAGAAGCCCCGGCUAACUACGUGCCAGCAGCCGCGGUAAGACGUAGGGGGCCAGCGUUGUUCGGAAUUACUGGGUGUAAAGGGUUCGUAGGCGGUGUGGCAAGUCGGGAGUGAAAUCUCUGGGCUCAACUCAGAGACUGCUUCCGAAACUGCUGUGCUGGAGUGUGGGAGAGGCGCGUGGAAUUGCAGGUGUAGCGGUGAAAUGCGUAGAUAUCUGCAGGAACACCCGUGGCGAAAGCGGCGCGCUGGACCACUACUGACGCUGAGGAACGAAAGCUAGGGGAGCAAACAGGAUUAGAUACCCUGGUAGUCCUAGCCCUAAACGAUCAGGACUUGGGGUGCCACCCGUUCGGGUGUCGUCCCGGAGCUAACGCGUUAAGUCCUGCACCUGGGGAGUACGGUCGCAAGACUG